rnacentral:rRNA from 1 species
UACGGAGGGUGCGAGCGUUGUUCGGAAUUACUGGGCGUAAAGGGCGAGUAGGCGGCCUCCUAAGUCAGACGUGAAAUCCCCCGGCUUAACCUGGGAACUGCGUCUGAUACUGGGAGGCUUGAGUAUGGGAGAGGAAGGUAGAAUUCCAGGUGUAGCGGUGAAAUGCGUAGAUAUCUGGAGGAAUACCGGUGGCGAAGGCGGCCUUCUGGACCAUAACUGACGCUGAUCCGCGAAAGCUAGGGGAGCAAACGGG